rnacentral:rRNA from 1 species
CGUUCGGUUACGUAGCCAACAAGGGCGCGCUCGGUGCUCAACAAAGAGUUCGAUUAUGGCUCAGAUUGAACGCUGGCGGGAUGCUUUACAUGCAAGUCAGGCAGCAUACGGACUUCGGUCUGGUGGCGAGUGGCGAACAGGUGAGUAAUGUAUCGGAACGUGCCUAGUGGCGGGGGAUAACUACGCGGCGUAGCUAAUACCGCAUACGCGCCCUUCGAAGGGGAAAAGCGGGGACCUUCGGGCCUCGCACUAUUAAACAGCCAUUUAUGGGAUUCGCUGGAUUGGUGGGGUAACGGCUCACGCAAGGCGACGAUCGUAGCUGGUUUGAGAAGGACAGCCCAGCCACACUGGGACUGAGACACGGCCCGAACUCCUACGGAGGCAGCAGUGAAAUUUUGGAUAAUGGGGGAAACCCUGAUCCAGCCAUCCCGCGUGUGCGAUGACCUUCGGAGUUGUAAAGCACUUUUGGCAGGCGACGGCGGGAUGUAUUACCAUUGCAACUGACGUGCACCUGCAGAAUAAGCACAAAAUAACUACGUGCCAACAGCCGCGGUAAUACGUAAGGUGCGGCGUUAAUCGGAAUUACUGGGCGUAAAGCGUGCACAGGCGGUUCGGAAGAAAGAUGUGAAAUCCCAGGCUUAACUUUGGGACAUUUUUAACUACCGAGCUAGAAUGUCAGAGGUGGAAUUCCGCGUGUAGCAGUGAAAUGCGUAGAUAUGCGGAGGAACACCGAUGGCGAAGGCAGCCUCCUGGAGAUAACACUGACGCUCAUGCACGAAAGCGUGGGAGCAAACGGGAUUAGAUACCCUGGUAGUCCACGCCUAUUGAUGUCAACUAGCUGUUGGGGCCUUCGGGCCGGUAGCGCAGCUAACGCGUGAAGUUGACCGCCUGGGAAACACGGUCAUAAGAUUAAAACUCAAAGAGAAUUGACGGGGACCCGCACAAGCGGUGGAUGAUGUGGAUUAAUUCGAUGCAACGCAUGAAAAACCCCUACCCAUGUUAUGUCUGGAAUCCCGAAGAGAUUUGAGUGUAUGAAAACCGGAACACAGAUGCUGCGACAUCGUCGCUCGUUAUCGUGAGAUGUUGGGUUAAGUCCUGUGAAGCGCAACCCUUGUCAUUAGUUACUACGAAAGGGCACUCUAAUGAGACUGCCGAUGGCUCGUGGAGGAAGGUGGGGAUGACGUCCAGUCCUCAUGGCCCAUAUAGGUAGGGCUUCACACGUCAUACAAUGGUCGGGACAGAGGGUCGCCAACCCGCGAGGGGGUAAUCCAGAAACCCGAUCGUAGUCCGGAUCGCAGUCUGCAACUCGACUGCGUGAAGUCGGAAUGCUGUGUCGCGGAUCGUAUGUCGCGGUGAAUACGUUCCCAGGUCUUGUACGCCCGUCACACCGCUGGGUGGUUUACCCAAGAAGUGAUUAGCCCUAACCGUAAGGGCGAUUACCACGGUAGGAUUCAUGACUGGGGUGAAGUCGUAACAAAGUAGC